UCCAAUAGCUCAGUGGUUAAGACAUUGGACUUCAGAUCAGAAGGUCAUGAGUUCAAAUCCCAGUACUGCCA